AGGUUCUCCUCUGAAAAUAAUUCUGAGAUUAAGAAUGGUUCUUCUCGUGCCCUGGGCAUUAAAGCCUGUAAGACUAAUGACGUUCACAAAAUUCUCCGAGCAACGUGCAGGAGGCAACCUAGUCCUUCUGGCUACCCAGGACGGUGAUGAAUUCCAAAGAUGAAUUUCACUAUAUUGAACAUGGCCCAUUGCAUUUAAAAUUAAAGAGCUGGGAAGAAACCACCACUCGCUGAUGGUAAGUGUCUGGGGAAAUGAACACUCGUAUAUACUCUCAUGAAGGUGCACACUGUUAUGUUAUGAAACUUGGGGAAGACAAUCUGGCAAUAAGUUUCAAAACCUAUAUCUUUUGACCUGGCCAUUUCACUUCCAGGAAUUUACCCCAAGGGAAAGAGUUAGUUAAUAGCCUUUUUUUUUUUUUUUUUUUUUUUUUUUUUUUGCCAUUGAGUUGUAUGAGCUCUUUAUAUAUUUUGGAUAUUAGCCCCUUACCAAACAUACAGUUGGCAGAUAUUGUCUUCCAUUCUGGG
rnacentral:lncRNA from 1 species